rnacentral:rRNA from 2 species
UUGGAGGGCAAGUCUGGUGCCAGCAGCCGCGGUAAUUCCAGCUCCAAUAGCGUAUAUUAAAGUUGUUGCAGUUAAAAAGCUCGUAGUUGAAUUUCGGGAUCAAAUUGUCGGUCGUGCCUCGGUACGCACUGGUAUUAUUGGUUCCUACCUUCUGAAGAACCGCGAUGUCAUUAAUUUGGUGUCGUGGGGAAUCAGGACUGUUACUUUGAAAAAAUUAGAGUGUUUAAAGCAGGCUUACGCUUGAAUACAUUAGCAUGGAAUAAUGAAAUAGGACGUUUGAUUCUAUUUUGUUGGUUUCUAGGAUUGACGUAAUGAUUAAUAGGGAUAGUUGGGGGCAUUAGUAUUCAAUUGUCAGAGGUGAAAUUCUUGGAUUUAUUGAAGACUAACUACUGCGAAAGCAUUUGCCAAGGAUGUUUUCAUUAAUCAAGAACGAAAGUUAGGGGAUCGAAGACGAUCAGAUACCGUCGUAGUCUUAACCAUAAACUAUGCCGACUAGGGAUCGGAUGAUGUUAAUUUUUUAAUGACUCAUUCGGCGCCUUACGGGAAAC